UACGAAGGGGGCUAGCGUUGCUCGGAAUCACUGGGCGUAAAGGGUGCGUAGGCGGGUCUUUAAGUCAGGGGUGAAAUCCUGGAGCUCAACUCCAGAACUGCCUUUGAUACUGAAGAUCUUGAGUUCGGGAGAGGUGAGUGGAACUGCGAGUGUAGAGGUGAAAUUCGUAGAUAUUCGCAAGAACACCCAGUGGCGAAGGGCGGCUCACUGGCCCGAUACUGACGCUGAGGCACGAAAGCGUGGGGAGCAAACAGG
rnacentral:rRNA from 1 species